rnacentral:rRNA from 1 species
GACGAACGCUGGCGGCGUGCCUAAUACAUGCAAGUAGAACGCAGUUUCGAACGGGUGAGUAACGCGUAGGUAACUGCCCUAUAGCGGGGGAUAACUUUUGGAAACGAUAGCUAAUACCGCAUACUGUGAGCUGGACUUGCGUUGUAUUAGCUAGUUGGUGAGGUAAAGGCCCACCAAGGCGACGAUACAUAGCCGACCUGAGAGGGGUGUAUGCCACACAGGGACUGAGGCACGGCCCAGAACCCUGCGGGGGGGAACAGUAGGGAAACUUUGGCAAAGGGCGGAAGGCGGACCGAGGAACGCCGGGGGAGAGAAGGAGGUUUUCGGAUCGUAAAACUCUGUUGUGAGAGAAGCGGUAACUAAAGAAAAAGCGACGGCUAACUACGUGCCAGCAGCCGCGGUAAUUC